rnacentral:rRNA from 1 species
GUGGGGAAUCUUGCGCAAUGGGCGAAAGCCUGACGCAGCCAUGCCGCGUGAAUGAUGAAGGUCUUAGGAUUGUAAAAUUCUUUCACCGGGGACGAUAAUGACGGUACCCGGAGAAGAAGCCCCGGCUAACUUCGUGCCAGAAGCCGCGGUAAUACGAAGGGGGCUAGCGUUGCUCGGAAUUACUGGGCGUAAAGGGCGCGUAGGCGGACAGUUUAGUCAGAGGUGAAAGCCAAGGGCUCAACCUUGGAAUUGCCUUUGAUACUGGCUGUCUUGAGUACGGGAGAGGUGAGUGGAAGUCCGAGUGUAGAGGUGAAAUUCGUAGAUAUUCGGAAGAGCGCCAGUGGCGAAGGCGACUCACUGGCCCGUUACUGACGCUGAGGCGCGAAAGCGUGGGGAGCAAACAGGAUUAGAAACCCGGGUAGUCC